rnacentral:rRNA from 1 species
GACGAACGCUGGCGGCGUGCUUAACACAUGCAAGUCGAACGGAAAGGCCCUGCUUGCAAGGUACUCGAGUGGCGAACGGGUGAGUAACACGUGGGUGAUCUGCCCUGCACUUCGGGAUAAGCCUGGGAAACUGGGUCUAAUACCGGAUAGGAGCCAUUUUUAGUGUGAUGGUUGGAAAGUUUUUUCGGUGUAGGAUGAGCUCGCGGCCUAUCAGCUUGUUGGUGGGGUAAUGGCCUACCAAGGCGGCGACGGGUAGCCGGCCUGAGAGGGUGGACGGCCACAUUGGGACUGAGAUACGGCCCAGACUCCUACGGGAGGCAGCAGUGGGGAAUAUUGCACAAUGGGCGCAAGCCUGAUGCAGCGACGCCGCGUGGGGGAUGACGGCCUUCGGGUUGUAAACUCCUUUCGCUAGGGACGAAGCUUUUUGUGACGGUACCUAGAGAAGAAGCACCGGCUAACUACGUG